AUUCUGUUUGGUGUUGUAGAGAAGUGUAUAUGUUUCUGGAAAUGCAGUAUUGUAGUUCGAAAAGUGACUCUUGGCGUAAUACACAUUCGUUGCGUCAUAGGAAGUUUCACUGGAUUGUUUCCUUUUUGUGCCAAGGUACUGUUUUUGUCUUUUGUAUUUUUCAGGAUUGUCUGUAUUCCUGAUUUGUGGCUGAUGUGUAAGUUUUGAGAUGCUAUGACCACACAGGAUGAAGGGUUUCGAGAAAUAAUCAAAUGACUUGAAGAGGAAACAAGUGAAUGGAUGGAAAAAUUUUACCAGCACAAAGAACGUGUCAAUAACUUUUUUGUUACGCUAGUGGGUGAGACGAUGAACUUUAUUUUUAUUUGUUUUUCGAAGCUGUUUUUAAAGCGCAAAUGAAAGUCGCACUGAAUGUUUAGUCUCCAGAUUAUGUGUUGUCGACGAAGUUUUAUGAACUUUCUGGUGAAUGAGACUAAAGGCUAGGACACUUGCCUCCCAAUGAGAUGACUAAAUUUCAAAUCCCAUCCACGGCUGAUUGAUAGCAGUUCUGCCAGCUUGCACAGAUCAAAGUGCUGGCGUAAAAUAUCCUCAGUGGUAGACGGAUCGCGACUUAGAAUCCACUACCGUCAAGCUAACCGUGGGCGGUUUUCCUCUCAUGUAACGCAAGUGCGGGUUAGUUUAAGCAAAGUCCUCCAGGAAGGCUAGAACUUAUAAAAAUUUUAAACUAUUAGAUCGCGUUAUUUCUCAUGUGUAUCAAUAAAGUUGUUAAAUAAUUCUUUAAGAAUUUGAGAAGUUUAGAUAUUAGUGAAACUCAGAAAUGGCUUUGUUCUUUUACGCUGGUUCUACCUUUUUACGGUCUUAUGAUAGGGAAAAUUUGUUGUAAAAUAUGUUUUUAUAGUUAGCUAUUUCAAGUUUUUCAAUUUAAAUUUUCAAGUGGUUGUAAAUAUUUUGCAUAUUGUAUUUAGAUAUAUUUAUUGUAUUAAAUUGUUCGGUAUACUAUUGUAAAAGUGGCAAUUUUGUAAGAUUGUUGUGGCAUGAAGCUUCAACUUCAUUUGCUUUGUAAAUUAGAUAGAAAUAAAUAUGUUAUGUAUGUUAA